GCACUUUAUGAGAAGCUUGGCGGACUACUAAUCCGUAUGUCACUGGUUCAAGUCCAGUAGAGUGAA
rnacentral:tRNA from 1 species